rnacentral:rRNA from 1 species
GGAGGGAAAAAUGGAAUUAGGGAGUAGGACCAGCUGAAAACCAUCUAGGAUGGCGGUUUUUUUUAUUAUUAGACAGAUGUGUUUUUAAAACGAAAAUACACGAGCAUCUUUCUUACUCUUGAACCCCUCAUCCUGUACACCGCCGUCUGAAGAGUAAGUUUAAAUGGCUAACUCUAUUUCUAUUUCUACAGAAAUAAGUCAGGUAAGGUGCAGACCAUGGGUAAGAAAAAAUGCAUUUCACUAAACCCCUAGGGAGCAGGUUGAAAGCCUUUCCCAAGAUGAAUUUAAUAGUAAGGUUUUUUAAUCAUAAAAAUCUGAAUUAAUUUCAAGAAAAUGU